AGUUAAGUGACUAAGCGUGCACGGUGGAUGCCUAGGCGGUAGAAGGCGAUGAAGGACGUGAAAGCCUGCGAUAAGCUCCGGUGAGGUGGCAAAUAACCUUUGACCCGGAGAUUUCCGAAUGGGAAAACCCAUCCUAUAUGGAUAUCCUCUUAUGAGGAAGCUAACCCGGAGAACUGAAACAUCUAAGUACCCGGAGGAAAAGAAAUCAACCGAGAUUCCCCUAGUAGUGGCGAGCGAACGGGGACCAGCCCUUAAGCAUUUAUAAGAUUAGUAGAACAGUCUGGAAAGUCUGACGAUACAGGGUGAUAGUCCCGUAUACGAAAAUCUUUUAAGUGUGAAAACGAGUAAGACGGGACACGUGAAAUCCUGUUUGAAGAUGGGGGGACCACCCUCCAAGGCUAAAUACUCUCUACCGACCGAUAGUGAACCAGUACCGUGAGGGAAAGGCGAAAAGAACCCCGGAAGGGGAGUGAAAUAGAACCUGAAACCGUGUACGUACAAGCAGUGGGAGCACCUUCGUGGUGUGACUGCGUACCUUUUGUAUAAUGGGUCAGCGACUUACUGUAUGUUGCGAGGUUAACCGAAUAGGGGAGCCGUAGGGAAACCGAGUCUUAAAUGGGCGACUAGUAGCAUGCAGUAGACCCGAAACCGGGCGAUCUAUCCAUGGCCAGGUUGAAGGUGCCGUAACAGGUACUGGAGGACCGAACCCACAAAUGUUGAAAAAUUUGGGGAUGAGCUGUGGAUCGGAGUGAAAGGCUAAUCAAGCUCGGAGAUAGCUGGUUCUCCUCGAAAACUAUUUAGGUAGUGCCUCAUGUCUCACUCUUGGGGGUAGAGCACUGUUAUGGUCUAGCGGUCCGUCAAGGAUUAGCAGCCCAUUGCAAACUCCGAAUACCAAGAAGUGCAAUCAUGGGAGACAGACGGCGGGUGCUAACGUCCGUCGUCAAGAGGGAAACAACCCAGACCGCCAGCUAAGGUCCCUAAACACUGCUCAGUGGGAAAGGAUGUGGGAAGGCUCAGACAGUCAGGAGGUUGGCUUAGAAGCAGCCACCCUUUAAAGAAAGCGUAAUAGCUCACUGAUCGAGUCGGCCUGCGCCGAAGAUUUAACGGGGCUAAGCAGUGUACCGAAGCUGCGGAUGCACAUAGUGCAUGGUAGAGGAGCGUCGUGUAAGCCUGUGAAGGUGAACUGGAAAGUUUGCUGGAGGUAUCACGAGUGCGAAUGCUGACAUGAGUAGCGAUAAAGGGAGUGAAAAGCUCCCUCGCCGAAAGACCAAGGGUUCCUACGCAACGUUAAUCGACGUAGGGUUAGUCGACCCCUAAGGCGAGGCCGAAAGGCGUAGUCGAUGGGAAACAGGUUAAUAUUCCUGUACUUUUUAUUACUGCGAUGGAGGGACGGAGAAGGCUAGGUCAGCUUGCCGUUGGUUGUGCAAGUUUAAGGUCGUAGGCAGAGUGUUUAGGCAAAUCCGGACACUCAAUGCUGAGAACUGAUGACGAGUCCAUUAGGACGAAGUGAUUGAUGCCAUGCUUCCAAGAAAAGCUUCUAAGCUUCAGGUAAUAAAGAAUCGUACCCCAAACCGACACAGGUGGUCAGGAUGAGUAUUCCAAGGCGCUUGAGAGAACUCGGGUGAAGGAACUAGGCAAAAUGGUACCGUAACUUCGGGAGAAGGUACGCCCCUUAAUGUGAAGGACUUGCUCCGUAAGCAUCUGGGGGUUGCAAUAAAAUGGUGGCUGCAACUGUUUACUAAAAACAUAGCACUCUGCAAAAUCGAAAGAUGACGUAUAGGGUGUGACGCCUGCCCGGUGCCGGAAGGUUAAUUGAUGGGGUUAGC
rnacentral:rRNA from 1 species